rnacentral:piRNA from 1 species
UGCUGCUGAUACCCAGGCAAACAGGGUCUGGU